UGGGGAAUUUUGGACAAUGGGCGAAAGCCUGAUCCAGCCAUGCCGCGUGAGUGAAGAAGGCCUUCGGGUUGUAAAGCUCUUUUAGUCGGAAAGAAAGAGUCGCAAUGAAUAAUUGUGAUUUAUGACGGUACCGACAGAAAAAGCACCGGCUAACUACGUGCCAGCAGCCGCGGUAAUACGUAGGGUGCGAGCGUUAAUCGGAAUUACUGGGCGUAAAGGGUGCGCAGGCGGUUUUGCAAGUCAGAUGUGAAAGCCCCGGGCUUAACCUGGGAAUUGCGUUUGAAACUACAAGGCUAGAGUGCAGCAGAGGGGGGUGGAAUUCCAUGUGUAGCAGUGAAAUGCGUAGAGAUGUGGAAGAACACCGAUGGCGAAGGCAGCUCCCUGGGUUGACACUGACGCUCAUGCACGAAAGCGUGGGGAGCAAACA
rnacentral:rRNA from 1 species